GUAGGAGGCAAGCGUUAUCCGGAUUCACUGGGCGUAAAGCGCGUGCAGGUGGCGCGGUAAGUUGGGUGUGAAAUCUCCCGGCUCAACUGGGAGAGGUCAUUCAAUACUACCGUGCUUGAGAGCAGAAGAGGAAGAUGGAAUUCCCGGUGUAGUGGUGAAAUGCGUAGAUAUCGGGAGGAACACCAGUGGCGAAGGCGAUCUUCUGGUCUGUUUCUGACACUCAGACGCGACAGCUAGGGUAGUAAACGGGAUUAGAGACCCCGGUAAUCCUAGCCGUAAACGAUGUGAACUUGGCGUUGGUGGGUUAAACUCCAUCAGUGCCGCAGCAAACGCGAUAAGUUCACCGCCUGGGGACUACGGCCGCAAGGUUAAA
rnacentral:rRNA from 1 species